CCUACGGGAGGCAGCAGUAGGGAAUCUUCGGCAAUGGCCGAAAGCCUGACCGAGCAACGCCGCGUGAAUGAAGAAGACCUUCGGGAUGUAAAAUCCUGUUAUAAGGGAAGAAAGGUGAUAGGAGGAAAUGACUAUCCAUUGACGGUACCUUAUGUGAAAGCCACGGCUAACUACGUGCCAGCAGGCGCGGCAAUACGUAGGUGGCAAGCGUUAUCCGGAAUUAUUGGGCGUAAAGAGCGCGCAGGUGGUUAAUUAAGUCUGAUGUGAAAGCCCACGGCUUAACCGUGGAGUGUCAUUGGAAACUGGUUGACUUGAGUGCAGAAGAGGGAAGUGGAAUUCCAGGUGUAGCGGUGAAAUGCGUAGAGAUAUGGAGGAACACCAGUGGCGAAGGCGGCUUCCUGGUCUGCAACUGACAUUGAUGCUCGAAAGUGUGGGUAUCAAACAGGAUUAGAUACCCGGGUAGUC
rnacentral:rRNA from 1 species